rnacentral:tRNA from 1 species
GCUGGUGUAGCUCAGUUGGUAGAGCAGCCGCCUCGUAAGCGGCAGGUCGAGGGUUCGAGUCCCUCCACUAGCUCCA